AUUUUCAAUGUAUGUUAUAAUGACAAAUUGUAAAUUUUAAAAAUAUUAAUUGUAUUUACUGAACUUUUAUUGGUUUAAAUUCAUAGGAAAUAGCUAAACACGAAAAAUAAUGCAUUUAUUGUUAAAUUUUUACUUGUUUUCUUAGUAAAUGUGAAAAAAUCUAAAAAAUACAUUAUUUUGAAACGGAGGAAUACGUAACUUUUACUAAACGGAGGGAGUAGUUAGAUAAAAUC
rnacentral:lncRNA from 1 species